rnacentral:rRNA from 1 species
ACGUAGGUGGCAAGCGUUAUCCGGAUUUAUUGGGCGUAAAGCGAGCGCAGGCGGUUGCUUAGGUCUGAUGUGAAAGCCUUCGGCUUAACCGAAGAAGUGCAUCGGAAACCGGGCGACUUGAGUGCAGAAGAGGACAGUGGAACUCCAUGUGUAGCGGUGGAAUGCGUAGAUAUAUGGAAGAACACCAGUGGCGAAGGCGGCUGUCUGGUCUGCAACUGACGCUGAGGCUCGAAAGCAUGGGUAGCGAACAGGAUUAGAUACCCUGGUAGUCCAUGCCGUAAACGAUGAGUGCUAGGUGUUGGAGGGUUUCCGCCCUUCAGUGCCGGAGCUAACGCAUUAAGCACUCCGCCUGGGGAGUACGACCGCAAGGUUG